rnacentral:rRNA from 1 species
UACGAAGGGGCUAGCGUUGCUCGGAAUCACUGGGCGUAAAGGGUGCGUAGGCGGGUCUUUAAGUCAGGGGUGAAAUCCUGGAGCUCAACUCCAGAACUGCCUUUGAUACUGAAGAUCUUGAGUCCGGGAGAGGUGAGUGGAACUGCGAGUGUAGAGGUGAAAUUCGUAGAUAUUCGCAAGAACACCAGUGGCGAAGGCGGCUCACUGGCCCGGUACUGACGCUGAGACGCGAAAGCGUGGG